rnacentral:rRNA from 1 species
GACGAACGCUGGCGGCGUGCUUAACACAUGCAAGUCGAACGGAAAGGCCCUGCUUUUGUGGGGUGCUCGAGUGGCGAACGGGUGAGUAACACGUGAGUAACCUGCCCUUGACUUUGGGAUAACUUCAGGAAACUGGGGCUAAUACCGGAUAGGAGCUCCUGCUGCAUGGUGGGGGUUGGAAAGUUUCGGCGGUUGGGGAUGGACUCGCGGCUUAUCAGCUUGUUGGUGGGGUAGUGGCUUACCAAGGCUUUGACGGGUAGCCGGCCUGAGAGGGUGACCGGCCAAAUUGGGAAUGAGAGACGGCCCAGACCCCUACGGGAGGCAGGGGGGGGGAAUAGUGCAAAAGGGGCGGAAGCCGGAUGGAGCAACGCCGGGUGGGGGAAGACGGCCUUGGGGUUGUAAACAGCUUUCGCCUGUGACGAAGCGUGAGGGACGGUAAGGGGUAAAGAAGCACCGGCUAACUACGG